rnacentral:rRNA from 1 species
UACGAACUGUGCGAACGUUAUUCGGAAUCACUGGGCUUACAGGGUGCGUAGGCGGCUCAACAAGUCAGGUGUGAAAGCCCCCGGCUCAACCGGGGAACUGCGCUUGAAACUGUUAGGCUCGAGUCAGCUAGAGGUACACGGAACUUCCAGUGGAGCGGUGAAAUGUGUUGAUAUUGGAAGGAACACCGGAGGCGAAAGCGGUGUACUGGGGCUGGUCUGACGCUGAGGCACGAAAGCCAGGGAGCGAACGGGG